rnacentral:rRNA from 1 species
UACGGGAGGGCAGCAGUGGGGAAGUAAUUGCACAAUGGGCGCAAGCCUGAUGCAGCCAUGCCGCGUGUAUGAAGAAGGCCUUAGGGUUGUAAAGUACUUUCAUCGGGGAGGAAAAAAACAAAAACUAAUAAUUUUAAUUUUCUUGACGUUACCCGAAAAAGAAAGCACCGGCUAACUCCGUGCCAGCAGCCGCGGUAAUACGGAGGGUGCUAGCGUUAAUCAGAAUUACUGGGCGUAAAGAGCACGUAGGUGGUUUUUUUAAGUUCAGAUGUGAAAUCCCUGGGCUUAACCUAGGAACUGCAUUUUGAAACUGAAAUACUAGAGUAUCGUAGAGGGAGGUAGAAUUCUAGGUGUAGCGGUGAAAUGCGUAGAUAUCUGGAGGAAUACCUGUGGCGAAAGCGGCCUCCUAAACGAAUACUGACACUGAGGUGCGAAAGCGUGGGGAGCAAACAGGGAUUAGAUACC